CCAAUAGCGUAUAUUAAAGUUGUUGCAGUUAAAAAGCUCGUAGUUGAAUUUCGGGAUCGACAGAUUGGUCGCGCCUUCGGUGUGUACUGGUCUAGUCGGUUUCUCCCUUCUGAUGAACCACGAUGUCAUUAAUUUGGUGUCGUGGGAAGUCAGGACUGUUACUUUGAAAAAAUUAGAGUGUUUAAAGCAGGCAUUAGCCUGAAUACAUUAGCAUGGAAUAAUGAAAUAGGACGUUUGAUCCUAUUUUGUUGGUUUCUAGGAUCGACGUAAUGAUUAAUAGGGAUAGUUGGGGGCAUUAGUAUUCAAUUGUCAGAGGUGAAAUUCUUGGAUUUAUUGAAGACUAACUACUGCGAAAGCAUUUGCCAAGGAUGUUUUCAUUAAUCAAGAACGAAAGUUAGGGGAUCGAAGACGAUCAGAUACCGUCGUAGUCUUAACCAUAAACUAUGCCGACUAGGGAUCGGAUGAUGUUAAUUUUUUAAUGACUCAUUCGGCGCCUUAC
rnacentral:rRNA from 1 species